AUCAUCUUUGGCACAAACAAAAUUUGGGAAGCAUAUUCACACAAAAACACCAUUCGGUAGUCACUCUCCUUUGCUGUUCUUCCAUUCCAGGGUUUAAGCGCGCCCUCUCUCUUCCCAUUGAAAAUGUGACGUCCUCCGCUGUCGCCGCCGCCGCCGCCCGCGUCACACGAGCGCUCUCCGUCACCGCUCGUCGCAUGAGCUCCCUCCACCGCCGCUCUCAUCGCGUUUGUUCCCUUCGUCGCCAUCGUCCCACGAGCUCUCUCUGUUGUGCUCUUGUCUUACGAGCUCCCUCCGCCGCCGCUCUCGUCACUGCUUCUUCUCUCAUCGCCGGAGGUUAGUCAUCGUCUCUACUCGUCGCCGUUAGUUCAGUUGAAUACCAAAGAAUACGAUCGAGGAGAGCUCUUAUGUUUGCAAAUCAGCUGUUGCUGCUGCAGAGAACGUAGUUUCUAAAUUCUAAACUCCCAAGGUUCUGGUCCGAGGUUAAUUGCGGUUUCAAUUAGUUUUGAUGGGAUGCUUAUAUUUGCAAUGAUGCUUGGACUUGUUGUCUCUGAUGCCAUUUCUGGGAAGUUCGACUCAAUGAGGAAAGGAAAAAGUGAGGUAGUUGAGCAAAAUCAUACUUCGAUUCUUGGCUGGAGUGGAAAAUUGGGUUCAUUACUAAAUCAACUUGCCAUACCCAAUGAGAGCCUGGGUGGAGGAACUGUUGUAGUGAUGGCUGAGUGAGACAAAGAAGAAAUGGAGCUUGACAUUGCAAAAAUGGAGUUUGAUUUCAAAGGAACAUCCGUCAUAUGCAGAACUGGGAGCCACUGAUUCUGGUUGAUCUUAAAAGGUAUAUGACACUUCUUUAUAUUUUCGUUUGGAAUUGUUAUUUUCUGUAGGUCUAAAAUUGGUUACUUGCAUGCAAUGCUGUGCCUGUGACAUUUCUUUUCUAUGUCAUUUUUAUCUCUUUUUUUUUAAAACCAUCAUUAAAAGAUUGUGAUUCAUUUGCUAGCCUUAUAUUAUAAAUUGAAGCAUGGUUAUAGAGAAAUUUUAAAUAUUCUCUGUUGAAUAAUUGAUUUGUUUUACUGGUAUUGAACAUCAUGAAGGUCAGCUUCUACAAACAAGCCAACUCAGGUUUCUCCAACUUGCUUUCAAAGUUCUUAGGAUAAAGUUUGCCAAUUGCUAGCUUUUCUACAAUAGCUUGUUUAACUUGACUCAUUUUUCUCUUUAAUGUUUAUUGAAAAGAAAAGAAGUCACAACCUCACAACCUAAGUUGAGCAAGUUUCCUAAAUCUACAAAUUGUAUUCACUUACUGAUGGUAUUUUCUCAUCUACUAUUGUUGGAAGCUAAGAAGUUUGGGGUUAAUGAAUUUGUGAACCCAAAAGAUCAUAACAAACCUGUACAAGAGGUCCUGACAGAAGGAUCUUCUUGCCAGAGGGUCUCUUGGACAGAUCCAAGAUCCCACCAUACUUGACUGGAGAAGUGCCUGGAGGCUAUGGUUAUGAUCCUUUUGGUCUCAGAAAGAAGCCAGAGGACUUUGCGAAGUAUGUCAGCCAUCCUUAUGGUUAUAAUCAUUCCCGAGGCCUUCAACAAAUUCUGAUUGUUUGUUACAAUUUCUAUACCACGCUUCCUGUUGCCAGAUACAUGGUGAGACAAUUCGGCAGCUUCCACAUUUACAAGAAAAGGCUCGGAAGCUUCUUGAUAUUCAGUGCAAUGUGUGGCAGAGGGUAGAUAAAAUAUUUCAAAGUGUAAGAUGCGAGGUUGGGUUUCUUAGUAAAAAGGUUAAAAAGUAUUUGUGCUACACAACAUUUCUUGGAGUGAAGAAAUCAGGGCAGCAAUUUCGUCAAAUCUGGUGGAUGAGGUUUAUACCAAGGAAUUAUAGUUUUGCAUACUAGGCUCCAUACAUAAGCAUUGAGAACAUUUUGGAACAAGAUUUUGUAUAAGUAAAAUUGCAACUUAUUGAUUCCAUAAGUGAUUUAUUCAAUAGAAAUUUUACA